UACGUAGGGGGCAAGCGUUGUCCGGAAUCAUUGGGCGUAAAGAGCGCGUAGGCGGCCCGGUAAGUCCGCUGUGAAAACUCGAGGCUCAACCUCGAGACGUCGGUUGAAACCACCUGGCUAGAGUCCGGAAGAGGAGAGUGGAAUUCCUGGUGUAGCGGUGAAAUGCGCAGAUAUCAGGAGGAACACCGAUGGCGAAGGCAGGUCUCUGGGCCACUACUGACGCUGAGAAGCGAAAGCGUGGGGAGCGAACAGG
rnacentral:rRNA from 1 species